rnacentral:rRNA from 1 species
GACGAACGCUGUCGGCGUGCUUAACACAUGCAAGUCGAACGGAAAGGCCCUGCUUUUGUGGGGUGCUCGAGUGGCGAACGGGUGAGUAACACGUGAGUAACCUGCCCUUGACUUUGGGAUAACUUCAGGAAACUGGGGCUAAUACCGGAUAGGAGCUCCUGCUGCAUGGUGGGGGUUGGAAAGUUUCGGCGGUUGGGGAUGGACUCGCGGCUUAUCAGCUUGUUGGUGGGGUAGUGGCUUACCAAGGCUUUGACGGGUAGCCGGCCUGAGAGGGUGACCGGCCACAUUGGGACUGAGAUACGGCCCAGACUCCUACGGGAGGCAGCAGUGGGGAAUAUUGCACAAUGGGCGGAAGCCUGAUGCAGCAACGCCGCGUGCGGGAUGACGGCCUUCGGGUUGUAACCCGCUUUCGCCUGUGACGAAGCGUGAGUGACGGUAAUGGGUAAAGAAGCACCGGCUAACUACGUGCCAGCAGCCGCGGUGAUACGUAGGGUGCGAGCGUUGUCCGGAUUUAUUGGGCGUAAAGGGCUCGUAGGUGGUUGAUCGCGUCGGAAGUGUAAUCUUGGGGCUUAACCCUGAGCGUGCUUUCGAUACGGGUUGACUUGAGGAAGGUAGGGGAGAAUGGAAUUCCUGGUGGAGCGGUGGAAUGCGCAGAUAUCAGGAGGAACACCAGUGGCGAAGGCGGUUCUCUGGGCCUUUCCUGACGCUGAGGAGCGAAAGCGUGGGGAGCGAACAGGCUUAGAUACCCUGGUAGUCCACGCUGUAAACGGUGGGUACUAGGUGUGGGGUCCAUUCCACGGGUUCCGUGCCGUAGCUAACGCUUUAAGUACCCCGCCUGGGGAGUACGGCCGCAAGGCUAAAACUCAAAGGAAUUGACGGGGCCCCGCACAAGCGGCGGAGCAUGCGGAUUAAUUCGAUGCAACGCGUAGAACCUUACCUGGGUUUGACAUGGAUCGGGAGUGCUCAGAGAUGGGUGUGCCUCUUUUGGGGUCGGUUCACAGGUGGUGCAUGCCUGUCGUCAGCUCGUGUCGUGAGAUGUUGGGUUAAGUCCCGCAACGAGCGCAACCCUUGUUCACUGUUGCCAGCACGUUAUGGUGGGGACUCAGUGGAGACCGCCGGGGUCAACUCGGAGGAAGGUGGGGAUGACGUCAAGUCCUCAUGCCCCUUAUGUCCAGGGCUUCACGCAUGCUACAAUGGCUGGUACAGAGAGUGGCGAGCCUGUGAGGGUGAGCGAAUCUCGGAAAGCCGGUCUCAGUUCGGAUUGGGGUCUGCAACUCGACCUCAUGAAGCCGGAGUCGCUAGUAAUCGCAGAUCAGCAACGCUGCGGUGAAUACGUUCCCGGG